AGUUGCUGAGAAGGGGGCAAGCCCAGGAAAUGGUGGCCAUGUCUGUGGACACUGCAGCGAGUGAGACAACUCCUGCAAGGUUCUGAGCCAGCAGGGGGAAAGCUCAAGAAGCAGGAGAAAGUGAGGAAAGGUCUCCAGGUGGGGAAGCCUGGGAGAGACCCAGUCCAAGCAGGGGAGAGACUGCCAAGGCCCAGUGGGAAAGGCCUGUGGAGGAGGACAAAGAGGAGGUGCUGGGAAGCAGGAAGACAGUCCCUCGGGGAGGUAGGACUGUGCCCAGCUGAAGUUGGGAUCAAGACAGGAUGGGAAGGAUCCUUUAGAGCUAGAACCAGCUUGGUGGAUGGCCAUCGAGAGUUACAGCAGAACCUCUCUCUGUUUUCUACCUACUUUCCAUACAGGGAUGCAUUCUAUGCAUGGAUGAAGAUGUUCUCACAGAAUAAGAAGCAACUCUUUAGCCAUAACAUCAGUUUAGCUCCAGGUGCAGAUGAACAUUGGGGGCUGCUUCUUAUCCCAUCCAGUGCAAUUGUGGUGCAGUGGCUGUCAUUCGCUAUCUCUCACCCCAUGAAGAUCAGAUAGGAAAAUCCUGGUACUUACGAGUGAUGGUCACUUGGGUUCCGGCUCCUGACGCAGACCAGUUCCUUGCUGUGCUCCCCACCUCGCACAGAACCAUGAAUCUACACUCCACGGUGAGAUCUGACCCUUCACACACAUCGAUAUUGCCUGGGGUCUGAUUCACCGUCAGCUCGGGAAAAUCUGCAGGAGAGAAACACAGACGAUUGCACCUUGAUGUAGGAGAAUUUCAGUGGCAAUGGCUGAUGACUGGGGAUGUAUUAAAAUAAAUGUCUCCCCCUCCAGUAUUUUGUGUUCUUUUCCCAGCCUGGCCAUUUAACAUCCCCUACUUA